UGAGUGUGUGUUUGUUUGUGUUUGUGUGUGUGUCAUGAUAAACUCUGGCCAGAGUGUGAUGGAAAUUACAGAUAAAUGAAACUGAAGCUGUUUUGUUUGCUCACAUACUGCUACUUUUGUUUACCUGUGUUUUUGUCGGUAGGUGGAUCUGAAAACACAUUUAAAAGUACACACAAUUAUGACAUUCCUGAGUCCUAAAGUCAGAGGCAGAACUAUUAAGGCACAGCAGGGCAUGCAGCCAUAAUGUAAACCUGUUUUGUUUGUGCAAACUUUACAUAACUUUACUUAAGAUGGCACUGAAGGGAGUGGUCAGGUGAUAGAAUAAAUAUUUACGCUUCAAAUAUGCAUGACGUCAGUCCUCAAGGUACCAUUAAAGCAGUUUCAUUCACCUGAUUUGUUUAAUCAUUUGUGUACCAUUCCAGUCUGUAAUCACCUCAGGUGUUUUCGGUCAUGUGCGAUAAGCCGUAUAUUUGUUUUUGCAAGAGAUGCUCCGCAUAGAAAAUAUGGGCACAUCAGCUACAUCCUACGCCGUUCAUAGUUGUGUGUUACAGAGUAUCCUUUUGAAGGAGUCCAGCUUUAGAAACAAUGUUCCUUUAUUUAAAUUCAAUCAUUUGCUACUUUUUGAAACUGCUACAAUGUAAUUCUGCAUGAAAAAUUAAACGGGUGAU